CCCUUAGAUGUCCUGGGCUGCACGCGCGCUACACUGAUGUGUCCAGUAAGCACCUAACCUCUUCCGAAAGGAACGGGUAACCUUUGCAAAGCACAUCGUGAUGGGGAUAGAUUAUUGCAAUUAUUAGUCUUGAACGAGGAAUUCCUAGUAAGCACAAGUCAUCAGCUUGUGUUGAUUACGUCCCUGCCCUUUGUACACACCGCCCGUCGCUACUACUGAUUGGAUGUUUAAGCGAGGUUCUCGAACUGCUAGUGACUGAUCUUCGGUGAGGUCGCAGUGUGGGAAGUGAACCUAGCUUUGGUGUCUAGAGGAAGUAAAAGUCGUAACA
rnacentral:rRNA from 1 species